rnacentral:rRNA from 1 species
GCAUAUCAAUAAGCGAGGAAAAAGAACCAACAGGGAAUUGCCCCUAGUAACGGCGAGUGAAGCGGCAACAGCUCAAAUUUGCAAAUCUGGCUCUUUCAGGGUCCGAGUUGUAAUUUGUAGAGGGCGCUUUGGUGUUGGCUGCGGUCUAAGUUCCUUGGAACAGGACGUCACAGAGGGUGAGAAUCCCGUACGUGGUCGACAGUCUCCACCGUGUAAAGCCCCUUCGACGAGUCGAGUUGUUUGGGAAUGCAGCUCUAAAUGGGAGGUAAAUUUCUUCUAAAGCUAAAUAUUGGCCAGAGACCGAUAGCGCACAAGUAGAGUGAUCGAAAGAUGAAAAGCACUUUGGAAAGAGAGUCAAAAAGCACGUGAAAUUGUUGAAAGGGAAGCGCUUGCAACCAGACUUGCCUGCAGUUGCUCAUCCGGCCAUUUGACCGGUGCACUCUUCUGUAGGCAGGCCAGCAUCAGUUUGGGCGGCUAGAUAAAGACCUUCAUCACGUAUCAUCCUUCGGGAUGACCUUAUAGGGGAGGUGUAAUGUAGCCAGCCUGGAUUGAGGUCCGCGCAUCUGCUAGGAUGCUGGCGUAAUGGUUGUAAGCGGCCCGUCUUGAAACACGGACCAAGGAGUCUAACAUCUAUGCGAGUGUUUGGGUGUAAAGCCCGGGCGCGCAAUGAAAGUGAACGGAGGUGGGAACCCUUACGGGUGCACCAUCGACCGAUCCUGAUGUCUUCGGAUGGAUUUGAGUAAGAGCAUAGCUGUUGGGACCCGAAAGAUGGUGAACUAUGCCUGAAUAGGGUGAAGCCAGAGGAAACUCUGGUGGAGGCUCGCAGCGGUUCUGACGUGCAAAUCGAUCGUCAAAAUUUGGGCAUAGGGGGCGAAAGACUAAUCGAACUAUCUAGUAGCUGGGUUCCUGCCGAAGUU